UCCUAGGCCCGGCCCUGUCAAAGAGAGAACGGAAUAAUGGCGAAAAGGUUAGGUAAGAGAAAAAUUGAUUCAGAAUGCAGGGUAUUUAACCUGCAGUGGACAAACAAUUUUUUUUUUGUUCAAUGCCAAGAAAAGGCUGUUUGUCUCAUCUGUCAAGAGACGGUGGCGGUAUUCAAAGAAUACAAUCUUCGCCGACACUAUGAAUCCCGUCACAAAGACAAGUACGAUAGCUUGCAAGGCCAAAUACGAGCAGACAAACUCUCAAAGCUAAAAAGUGGACUACUAUCUCAGCAGAAUACAUUUGUACGCCAAGCUCAGCUGAACCAGGCAUCCGUUCGGGCCAGCUUUGGGUUGCUAAACUGAUAGCAAGAAGCGGUAAGCCUUUCACUGACGGAGAGUUUGUUAAGAAAUGUAUGGAUGCUGUCGCGGAGGAGGUGUGUCCCGAGAAGAAAGAUGCAUUUAAUGCCGUAAGUCUGUCGGCGAGUACAAUCACCAGAUGCGUUGAAGAAAUCGGGAGUAAUGUAUAUGCCCAGCGGUCCCGUUCCCAGCUGAAAAGUGCGUGGAAGCACUGGAAAUGCUGAAGGCGGAGUUCGGUGUGCGAUUCAGUGAACUACAUGUUCAUGCAAAAGAAAUCCGUCUUUUUCAGAACCCCUUUGUUGCCGACAUUGAUGAAGCCCAGCCUUCAUAUCAGUUUGAGUUGGCUGAGUUACAGAACUGUGAUGUUCUGAAAGACGCAUUCAAGCCCAACAGUCUCAUUGACUUCUAUGCCGCCCUCCCAAACGACACAUAUCCAAACAUCAAAAACACGCAAUGAAAAUGUCCACAGUUUUUGGCAGCACGUAUAUCUGCGAGAAAACCUUUUCUCGCAUGAAACUGCUGAAAACCCCGAUGAGAUCAAGAUUGACAGAUGAACAUUUGCAUCAGUGCUUGAGACUGGCUGUAACUAGAAUGGAACCUGAUAUUCAACUUCUCACCAGCCAGAUGCAGGCCCACAGUUCACACUGAUGAACAUACAUAGGGAAGUUGAUGAGAGAGAGCUGCAAACAGCGGUGUCUACAAGCCUACUGGAACCUACAAAAGGAUUAUAAGGAAGGAACACAAGAACUUUAAGAGACUGCUCAUAUGUGUCAGAGAGAUUCUGCUCUGACAACUGAGCUGAACUUUUAUCUGUUAAGAUUGUGCAUGGCACGACAGAAAGUUAAUGUUCCAUGGCUUUUUUUUCUAUGAAGAACCCAGAGAGAGUUAUUUAGUUAUUAUUUAUUUCCUGUUUUUUCUGUGAAGAACUCAGAGAGGGUUAUUUAGUUAUUAUUUAUUUCAUUAAUAGUGUUAUUAUUUGUUUCCUGACUUUUUUUCUGUAAAGAACCUGGAAAGGGUUAUUUGGUUAUGUGUGGCUUUCUGGAAAACAAUAAAAAUUUUAAGCUCCC